GGGUCAUAGCUCAGGUAGAACAUCUGCUUUUCAUGCAUAAAGUCCCAGAUUCAAUCCCUGGCAUCUCCA